CACAUUCACAGGCUCCAAGUAUAAGUUCAUGGAAACUUUGCAGGGUCAUCAAAGUCCAAAACGCGAAAAUAAUUCUCAGCAUGGUCCCAAUAUUCUGCUGCACAAAUAUAAAGAAUCUUCUUGAUAUCAAGUUCAAAAUGAGCCUUAUCUUCUUGAUAUGA